UACGGAGGGUGCGAGCGUUGUCCGGAAUCAUUGGGCGUAAAGGGCGCGUAGGUGGCCCGGUCAGUCCGUGGUGAAAGCGCGGGGCUCACCCCCGGAAGUGCAUUGGAAACUGGCGGACUCGAGUCCCGGAGAGGAGAGUGGAAUUCCUGGUGUAGCGGUGAAAUGCGUAGAUAUCAGGAGGAACACCGGUGGCGAAGGCGGCUCUCUGGACGGUGACUGACGCUGAGACACGAAGGCCAGGGGAGCAAACGGG
rnacentral:rRNA from 1 species